rnacentral:rRNA from 1 species
CAGUAGCCACGGGAAUACGUAGGUGGCAAGCGUUGUCCGGAAUUAUUGGGCGUAAAGGGCUCGCAGGCGGUUUCUUAAGUCUGAUGUGAAAGCCCCCGGCUCAACCGGGGAGGGUCAUAGGAAACUGGGAAACUUGAGUGCAGAAGAGGAGAGUGGAAUUCCACGUGUAGCGGUGAAAUGCGUAGAGAUGUGGAGGAACACCAGUGGCGAAGGCGACUCUCUGGUCUGUAACUGACGCUGAGGAGCGAAAGCGUGGGGAGCGAACAGGAUUAGAUACCCCCGUAGUCCCUGUCUCUUAUAC